rnacentral:rRNA from 1 species
UACGAAGGGGGCUAGCGUUGCUCGGAAUUACUGGGCGUAAAGGGCGCGUAGGCGGAUAUCUAAGUCGGGGGUGAAAGCCCGGGGCUCAACCCCGGAAUUGCCUUCGAUACUGGAUAUCUUGAGUACGGGAGAGGUGAGUGGAACUCCGAGUGUAGAGGUGAAAUUCGUAGAUAUUCGGAAGAACACCAGUGGCGAAGGCGACUCACUGGCCCGUUACUGACGCUGAGGCGCGAAAGCGUGGGGAGCAAACAGG